rnacentral:rRNA from 1 species
UGGGGAAUAUUGGACAAUGGGCGCAAGCCUGAUCCAGCAAUGCCGCGUGUGUGAAGAAGGCCUUCGGGUUGUAAAGCACUUUUAUCAGGAGCGAAAACGCUGUCGGCUAAUACCCGGCGGAACUGACGGUACCUGAGGAAUAAGCACCGGCUAACUUCGUGCCAGCAGCCGCGGUAAUACGAAGGGUGCAAGCGUUAAUCGGAAUUACUGGGCGUAAAGCGUGCGUAGGCGGUCUCUUAAGUCUGCUGUGAAAUCCCCGGGCUCAACCUGGGAAUGGCAGUGGAUACUGGGAGGCUAGAGUGUGUCAGAGGGUGGUGGAAUUCCCGGUGUAGCGGUGAAAUGCGUAGAGAUCGGGAGGAACAUCAGUGGCGAAGGCGGCCACCUGGGACAACACUGACGCUGAGGCACGAAAAGCGUGGGGAGCAAACAGGAUUAGAUACCCUGGUAGUCCACGCCCUAAAACGAUGCGAACUGGAUGUUGGUCUCAACUCGGAGAUCAGUGUCG